UAGGAGAGACAAGGUGGUUAUUGCCCAGG
rnacentral:piRNA from 1 species